ACUUAUGGAUGGACCCGCGUCGCAUUAGCUAGUUGGUGAGGUAACGGCUCACCAAGGCAACGAUGCGUAGCCGACCUGAGAGGGUGAUCGGCCACACUGGGACUGAGACACGGCCCAGACUCCUACGGGAGGCAGCAGUAGGGAAUCUUCCGCAAUGGACGAAAGUCUGACGGAGCAACGCCGCGUGAGUGAUGAAGGCUUUCGGGUCGUAAAACUCUGUUGUUAGGGAAGAACAAGUGCGAUUGACGGUACCUAACCAGAAAGCCACGGCUAACUACGUGCCAGCAGCCGCGGUAAUACGUAGGUGGCAAGCGUUAUCCGGAAUUAUUGGGCGUAAAGCGCGCGCAGGUGGUUUCUUAAGUCUGAUGUGAAAGCCCACGGCUCAACCGUGGAGGGUCAUUGGAAACUGGGAGACUUGAGUGCAGAAGAGGAAAGUGGAAUUCAUGUAGCGGUGAAAUGCGUAGAGAU
rnacentral:rRNA from 2 species